rnacentral:lncRNA from 1 species
UAGAAUAUAAUAAAAUCUAAUAUAUCUCUAAAUCUAAACAUAUCAAAAAUAACAAAAAAAAAUCGGAUCAAAAUUAAAAUAUACAAUACUUUCGAAAAAUAACCUAAAAAUACAAAUUUGAAUACAAAUUUGAAUACCUAAAUAAUUGAAUUUAGAUUACAAACUCGGUCAUAACGGUUUGUCAUUGGAGGCAUAGGUCUGAAAAAAUAUUUUUGAAUUGGUAUUGCACACUGAAAACAAAGAAUGGAGCGAGUAUAUAGUUAUGGCUAUUUAAAUUAAAGAAUUUUUCGUACCGAUUAUAAAAAUUAUCGAACUCAAUGAAACUUAUGAGCUAAUUUAGUUAAGUCAUGCUUUUUCAUAAAUUUUAAUGCUAAAUUAAUCUAAUCAACCAAGCACUUCUCUUACAAGUAACAUUUACUCAUACUUGUGACAUGUUUUUAACUUUUCAAAUGCUUACCGACCGUUUCAAGAGCAAGUGGCAAAAAGUUUGAUGAUUGGUAUUCGAGAUUUUAAAUUUAAAUUUUAGUUAAUUUAUAUUUCUAAAUAAAAUAAAUGAAACUGACAACUUUUCAAAUGCUUGCUUUAUACUUAUUGCUGCUUGGUUACCAGUCCAUCACUUUCAUUUCACUUAUUGAGGAAACAAAUGAAAGUACUCCUCUUAAAAGUAAUAUUUACUCAUACAUGUGACGUGCUUUUGACUUUUCAAAUGCUUGCUUUGUACUUGCCGCUUGGUUAUGACUUAUGAGCUCAUCACUUUCGUUUCACUUAACCUACGUUUGAAUCGAGUUAUGUAAUAUUAUAAAACAGAAACGAAGCCAAAAAUUAAGAUUCGAAGGGGUCAAGAUUUAGAUUUGAUAGAAAAAAAAAUUUGAUCUCAAAUAGUAAAAAAAAAAAAAAAAAUUGUCAGAUUCACUGAUCAAUUAUUACUCGCAACAAUAACAACAAUAUGCUCAAAGAGGAACAAGAGUACUGUAAAAGUUGAAUGGAAAGGAUCAAGAAAUUAAAAAAAAAAAAAAUCGAGACACAAAUUUUAUUUUAAAAUUUAUAGUAUUUCAAUUUUUAUUAUAAAGAACUUUUAUAUAAUUUUAAAAAAUUUACGCGGGGACCAUGGGGCCCCUCAACAGCUCCGCCCCUGUUAUAGAGUAUUUUGAUAUAUUCAGUUAUUUUAGAUUUCUAAAUAAGAUUACUAUUGGUACUGUAUUAGUGCGUUUGAUUUAAUACAGUAAUAUAAUACUAGAUUGCAGAGUUUAUAUCAUUAAUAUAUAUUUGAUUCAGUUUAUAAACUUCAAUAAUCUUGACAAUAAAGUAUACUCUAUUUCAAAAUUGAUUAGCCAUAUUUAGCAAAUUUUUUUUUACUGUUUAAAAAUAAUACUUUUUUACUAAAUUUUAUUUUAAAUAAUUUAAAUUUUUAAAAUUUUAAAUUUGGACAAAAAUAUAUAAUUUAAUAUUUUAAUUUAAAAUAUAAAUAUGAAAUUUAUAAAUUUAAAAUCUAAAGUUUAAAUAUAAAUUUAAAUUUAAAAGUAAAAUUUAAAAUUUAAAAUUUUAUAUUUAAAUUUAAAAUUUAAAAAUUUUAAUUUUAAAAUUUAAUUUUAAAUUUUAAAAAUUUAAAAAUUAAAAAUUUAAAUUUAAAAAUUAAAAAAUAAAAAAUAAAAAAUUUAAAUUUAAAAGUUGACAAUUCAAAAUUUUAAAUUAAAAUUUUUAAAAUAACGUAUUGAAAGGUUUAAGGAGUUGGAGGGGUACACUUAUAAUUUUAUAUAACAUGCAAAAUUAUCCUCCUUCAGUACUCCAAGAUAAAUACCCCUGGGUGCAUGUAAUCCUAUAUUAUUUGUAAUGCUACAUUACUAAUCAGAUUAUAUACUGGAUGAACCAAACGCAGUAAUCUUAACAGAAUUAUCUGUAAUUCUGUCAGGAUAACCUAAAUCAAUCUAAAUCAAAGGCACCCUAAAAGUAAUAUUUAGUCAUACAUGUUAUAUAUUUUAAACUUAAUU